rnacentral:rRNA from 1 species
CAGCAGCCGCGGUAAUACGGAGGGUGCAAGCGUUAAUCGGAAUUACUGGGCGUAAAGCGCACGCAGGCGGUCUGACAAGUCAGAUGUGAAAUCCCCGGGCUUAACCUGGGAACUGCAUUUGAAACUGUCAGGCUGGAGUCUUGUAGAGGGGGGUGGAAUUCCAGGUGUAGCGGUGAAAUGCGUAGAGAUCUGGAGGAAUACCGGUGGCGAAGGCGGCCCCCUGGACAAAGACUGACGCUCAGGUGCGAAAGCGUGGGGAGCAAACAGGAUUAGAUACCCCGGUAGUCCAUGUCUCUUAUAA